CCCUUAGAGUUUGAUCCUGGCUCAGGAUGAACGCUGGCGGCGUGCUUAACACAUGCAAGUCGAGCGAAGCACUUAUGAAAGAUUCUUCGGAUGAUUUCAUUUGUGACUGAGCGGCGGACGGGUGAGUAACGCGUGGGUAACCUGCCUCAUACAGGGGGAUAACAGUUGGAAACGACUGCUAAUACCGCAUAAGCGCACAGUACCGCAUGGUACAGUGUGAAAAACUCCGGUGGUAUGAGAUGGACCCGCGUCUGAUUAGCUAGUUGGUGGGGUAACGGCCUACCAAGGCGACGAUCAGUAGCCGACCUGAGAGGGUGACCGGCCACAUUGGGACUGAGACACGGCCCAAACUCCUACGGGAGGCAGCAGUGGGGAAUAUUGCACAAUGGGGGAAACCCUGAUGCAGCAACGCCGCGUGAGUGAAGAAGUAUUUCGGUAUGUAAAGCUCUAUCAG
rnacentral:rRNA from 1 species